GGUUAAGCGACUAAGCGUACACGGUGGAUGCCCUGGCAGUCAGAGGCGAUGAAGGACGUGCUAAUCUGCGAUAAGCGUCGGUAAGGUGAUAUGAACCGUUAUAACCGGCGAUUUCCGAAUGGGGAAACCCAGUGUGUUUCGACACACUAUCAUUAACUGAAUCCAUAGGUUAAUGAGGCGAACCGGGGGAACUGAAACAUCUAAGUACCCCGAGGAAAAGAAAUCAACCGAGAUUCCCCCAGUAGCGGCGAGCGAACGGGGAGCAGCCCAGAGCCUGAAUCAGUAUGUGUGUUAGUGGAAGCGUCUGGAAAGGCGCGCGAUACAGGGUGACAGCCCCGUACACAAAAAUGCACAUGCUGUGAGCUCGAUGAGUAGGGCGGGACACGUGGUAUCCUGUCUGAAUAUGGGGGGACCAUCCUCCAAGGCUAAAUACUCCUGACUGACCGAUAGUGAACCAGUACCGUGAGGGAAAGGCGAAAAGAACCCCGGCGAGGGGAGUGAAAAAGAACCUGAAACCGUGUACGUACAAGCAGUGGGAGCACGCUUAGGCGUGUGACUGCGUACCUUUUGUAUAAUGGGUCAGCGACUUAUAUUCUGUAGCAAGGUUAACCGAAUAGGGGAGCCGAAGGGAAACCGAGUCUUAACUGGGCGUUAAGUUGCAGGGUAUAGACCCGAAACCCGGUGAUCUAGCCAUGGGCAGGUUGAAGGUUGGGUAACACUAACUGGAGGACCGAACCGACUAAUGUUGAAAAAUUAGCGGAUGACUUGUGGCUGGGGGUGAAAGGCCAAUCAAACCGGGAGAUAGCUGGUUCUCCCCGAAAGCUAUUUAGGUAGCGCCUCGUGAAUUCAUCUCCGGGGGUAGAGCACUGUUUCGGCAAGGGGGUCAUCCCGACUUACCAACCCGAUGCAAACUGCGAAUACCGGAGAAUGUUAUCACGGGAGACACACGGCGGGUGCUAACGUCCGUCGUGAAGAGGGAAACAACCCAGACCGCCAGCUAAGGUCCCAAAGUCAUGGUUAAGUGGGAAACGAUGUGGGAAGGCCCAGACAGCCAGGAUGUUGGCUUAGAAGCAGCCAUCAUUUAAAGAAAGCGUAAUAGCUCACUGGUCGAGUCGGCCUGCGCGGAAGAUGUAACGGGGCUAAACCAUGCACCGAAGCUGCGGCAGCGACGCUGAUGCGUUGUUGGGUA
rnacentral:rRNA from 1 species